rnacentral:piRNA from 1 species
CAGAAAGGAUGUGCAGAGGCCAU